rnacentral:misc_RNA from 1 species
AAACAAGUAAACUUAUUUUUAGAACCAACGUAUAAACUAAAACAAACACCCUUUUAGUAACUGAAUGUCAUGCCUCAAUGUCUCUUAGAGAAAGUUCUUGGACUUCCAUGGUUCACACAUGUAUCGUCCAAAUAUUUAUGUUUUCAACAAAUCUAUGAUUUCCAUCACUGCAAUGCAAUUUUAAGCUUUAAUUUUGAUUCUGACUUUAAAGAAAGCUCCACAUGAAAGAGAAU